rnacentral:rRNA from 1 species
UACGUAGGGCGCGAGCGUUGUCCGGAAUCACUGGGCGUAAAGCGCACGUAGGCGGCUUUUAAGUCAGAGGUGAAAUCCUGGAGCUCAACUCCAGAACUGCCUUUGAUACUGGAGAGCUUGAGUCCGGGAGAGGUGAGUGGAACUGCGAGUGUAGAGGUGAAAUUCGUAGAUAUUCGGAAGAACACCAGUGGCGAAGGCGACAUACUGGGUCAUGGACUGACGCUGAGGCUCGAAAGCGUGGGGAGCAAACAGGGA